AGAGGGGGCAAGCGUUGUUCGGAAUUACUGGGCGUAAAGGGCGCGUAGGCGGCCACCUAAGUCAGACGUGAAAUCCCUCGGCUCAACCGGGGAACUGCGUCUGAUACUGGGCGGCUUGAAUUCGGGAGAGGGAUGCGGAAUUCCAGGUGUAGCGGUGAAAUGCGUAGAUAUCUGGAGGAACACCGGUGGCGAAGGCGGCAUCCUGGACCGAGAUUGACGCUGAGGCGCGAAAGCCAGGGGAGCAAACGGGAUUAGAUACCCCGGUAGUCCUGGCCCUAAACGAUGAAUGCUUGGUGUGGCGGGUAUCGAUCCCUGCCGUGCCGAAGCUAACGCAUUAAGCAUUCCGCCUGGGGAGUACGGUCGCAAGGCUG
rnacentral:rRNA from 1 species